UAUCUACUCCCUUCAUUCGGAAUUACUUGUCGUAGAAAUGGAUGUAUCUAGACGUAUUUUAGUUUUAGAUACAUUCAUUUUCGAGACAAGUAAUUCCGAACGGAGGGAAUAUAUC
rfam:Triticum urartu cultivar G1812 contig747545, whole genome shotgun sequence.